AGAACGAACGCUGGCGGCAGGCUUAACACAUGCAAGUCGAACGCCCCGCAAGGGGGAGUGGCAGACGGGUGAGUAACGCGUGGGAAUCUACCCAAUUCUACGGAACAACAGUUGGAAACGACUGCUAAUACCGUAUACGCCCUACGGGGGAAAGAUUUAUCGGAAUUGGAUGAGCCCGCGUUGGAUUAGCUAGUUGGUGGGGUAAAGCCUACAAGGCGACGAUCCAUAGGCUGGUCUGAGAGGAUGAUCAGCCACAUUGGGACUGAGACACGGCCCAAACUCCUACGGGAGGCAGCAGUGGGGAAUAUUGGACAAUGGGCGCAAGCCUGAUCCAGCCAUGCCGCGUGAGUGAUGGAAGGUCUUAGGAUUGUAAAGUCUCUUUCGACCGAGAAGAUAAGUGACGGUAUCCGGAGAACGAGACCCCGGACGUAACUCGUACGCCAGCAGCCGAC
rnacentral:rRNA from 1 species